AUUGAACGCUGGCGGCAUGCUUUACACAUGCAAGUCGAACGGUAACAGGCCGCAAGGUGCUGACGAGUGGCGAACGGGUGAGUAAUGCAUCGGAACGUGCCCAGUCGUGGGGGAUAACGCAGCGAAAGCUGUGCUAAUAACGCAUACGAUCUAUGGAUGAAAGCGGGGGACCGUAAGGCCUCGCGCGAUUGGAGCGGCCGAUGUCAGAUUAGCUAGUUGGCGGGGUAAAGGCCCACCAAGGCGACGAUCUGUAGCUGGUCUGAGAGGACGACCAGCCACACUGGGACUGAGACACGGCCCAGACUCCUACGGGAGGCAGCAGUGGGGAAUUUUGGACAAUGGGCGCAAGCCUGAUCCAGCAAUGCCGCGUGCAGGAAGAAGGCCUUCGGGUUGUAAACUGCUUUUGUACGGAACGAAACGGUCUGGGUUAAUACCUCGGGCUAAUGACGGUACCGUAAGAAUAAGCACCGGCUAACUACGUGCCAGCAGCCGCGGUAA
rnacentral:rRNA from 1 species